UGUACCAUUUCUUGCUGAAUUUUUAAGGUAUUUUAUUUUUCACUUAAAAUCUUAAGUAGAACAUUGAACAUAACUGCAGCUGAUUAUGUCAUAUUCCAUCAGUAAUAUAACUAAUUCAUAAAAAUAUCAAGUUUGCUACACUCCUUUGGAUAUGUAUAGAUAUCAGAUAAUGGGUAAUUUGUAGAUUGUUAUCACUGGCAUAUUAUUCAGGUGCCUACUUCCUUCUCACUUAAAUAUGCAUAAAUAUUACCUAUUUCUUUCACCAUUGGCUUUUAUCUUGUAUUGAUGUCUUUUGGAAUAAGCUUAACACAAUUGAAAAUGAUGGUUUGAUUAUCUGUUUUUUUUAAUUAUUAUUUUUUAUUCUUAAGGUUAUUUCUGAGGAGGAAAUUG
rnacentral:misc_RNA from 1 species